CCUACGGGUGGCAGCAGUGAGGAAUAUUGGUCAAUGGACGAGAGUCUGAACCAGCCAAGUAGCGUGAAGGAUGACUGCCCUAUGGGUUGUAAACUUCUUUUAUAUGGGAAUAAAAUGUUCAACGUGUGGGAUUUUGUAUGUACCAUAUGAAUAAGGAUCGGCUAACUCCGUGCCAGCAGCCGCGGUAAUACGGAGGAUCCGAGCGUUAUCCGGAUUUAUUGGGUUUAAAGGGAGCGUAGGUGGAUUGUUAAGUCAGUUGUGAAAGUUUGCGGCGCAACCGUAAAAUUGCAGUUGAAACUGGCAGUCUUGAGUACAGUAGAGGUGGGCGGAAUUCGUGGUGUAGCGGUGAAAUGCUUAGAUAUCACGAAGAACUCCGAUUGCGAAGGCAGUUCACUGGACUGCAACUGACACUGAGGCUCGAAAGUGUGGGUAUCAAACAGGAUUAGAUACCCCAGUAGUC
rnacentral:rRNA from 1 species